CCCUUAGAUGUUCUGGGCCGCACGCGUGCUACACUGAGUGGAUCAGCGGGUCAGGUUGCGCGAAAGCGUUUCCUAAUCUUGAAAUCCGCUCGUGAUGGGGAUUGACGGUUGCAAUUUUCUGUCAUGAACGAGGAAUACCUUGUAAGCGCGAGUCAUCAUCCCGCGCUGAAUACGUCCCUGCCCUUUGUACACACCGCCCGUCGCUCCUACCGAUUGGGUGGUCCGGUGAGGCUUUGGGAUCUGAGCGGAAAGAGCGUUUCGCUCGUUCUGCCCGGAAAACUCAGUCGAACCUUAUCAUUUAGAGGAAGGAGAAGUCGUAACA
rnacentral:rRNA from 1 species